AUCGCUUCUCGGCCUUUUGGCUAAGAUCAAGUGUAGUAACUCAUGCUGCCAUUCCUCAGAGCUUUUGCCUGAGAUCAGAACUUAG
rnacentral:snRNA from 14 species